rnacentral:lncRNA from 1 species
CUGAGGCAGCCCAACAUGUGAGGUACUACGUGUGAUCGUGAUACUUCGGGGUAUGAGAUUGUGCCACGUGCGGGGUGUGAGAUUGUGCCACGUGUGGGGUGUGAGAUUGUGCAAUGUGUUGAUCUGAAGAUUGGUGAUUCAUAAUCGCGGGUUUAUGAUGUCAUCGGGUGGUUUACUGUUCAGAACCGCCUAGUUCUCUCUAGACACGGGCAGUUCUCGUGUAUUUUACUGGAACUAGUGGAACAGGCACCCCCGGGGGUACCAAUUCUCGAGUCGGACAUGCCGACUUUUCAAACACUGGUCAAAAUUAUGUAUUCAAAUUGGACAUCAUCCUAUGAGAAAAAAAAAAGACAAUUAUAUAUUCAAAUUGG